CGGGUGAGUAAUAUAUCGGAACGUGCCCAGUCGUGGGGGAUAACGUAGUGAAAAUUACGCUAAUACCGCAUACGAUCUAAGGAUGAAAGCGGGGGAUCGCAAGACCUCGCGCGAUUGGAGUGGCCGAUAUCAGAUUAGGUAGUUGGUGAGGUAAAGGCUCACCAAGCCAACGAUCUGUAGCUGGUCUGAGAGGACGACCAGCCACACUGGAACUGAGACACGGUCCAG
rnacentral:rRNA from 1 species